CCGGAGAGGGGAGUGAAAUAGAUCCUGAAACCGUAUGCGUACAAGCAGUGGGAGCCCACUUUGUUGGGUGACUGCGUACCUUUUGUAUAAUGGGUCAGCGACUUAUUUUCAGUGGCGAGCUUAACCGAAUAGGGGAGGCGUAGCGAAAGCGAGUCUUAAUAGGGCGUCUAGUCGCUGGGAAUAGACCCGAAACCGGGCGAUCUAUCCAUGGGCAGGUUGAAGGUUAGGUAACACUGACUGGAGGACCGAACCGACUACCGUUGAAAAGUUAGCGGAUGACCUGUGGAUCGGAGUGAAAGGCUAAUCAAGCUCGGAGAUAGCUGGUUCUCCUCGAAAGCUAUUUAGGUAGCGCCUCAUGUAUCACUGUAGGGGGUAGAGCACUGUUUCGGCUAGGGGGUCAUCCCGACUUACCAAACCGAUGCAAACUCCGAAUACCUACAAGUGCCGAGCAUGGGAGACACACGGCGGGUGCUAACGUCCGUCGUGAAAAGGGAAACAACCCAGACCGUCAGCUAAGGUCCCAAAGUUAUGGUUAAGUGGGAAACGAUGUGGGAAGGCUUAGACAGCUAGGAGGUUGGCUUAGAAGCAGCCACCCUUUAAAGAAAGCGUAAUAGCUCACUAGUCGAGUCGGCCUGCGCGGAAGAUGUAACGGGGCUCAAACCAUACACCGAAGCUACGGGUAUCACGUAAGUGAUGCGGUAGAGGAGCGUUCUGUAAGCCUGUGAAGGUGAGUUGAGAAGCUUGCUGGAGGUAUCAGAAGUGCGAAUGCUGACAUGAGUAACGACAAUGGGUGUGAAAAACACCCACGCCGAAAGACCAAGGUUUCCUGCGCAACGUUAAUCGACGCAGGGUUAGUCGGUCCCUAAGGCGAGGCUGAAAAGCGUAGUCGAUGGAAAACAGGUUAAUAUUCCUGUACUUCUGGUUAUUGCGAUGGAGGGACGGAGAAGGCUAGGCCAGCUUGGCGUUGGUUGUCCAAGUUUAAGGUGGUAGGCUGAGAUCUUAGGUAAAUCCGGGAUCUUAAGGCCGAGAGCUGAUGACGAGUUACCCUUUGGGUGACGAAGUGGUUGAUGCCAUGCUUCCAAGAAAAGCUUCUAAGCUUCAGGUAACCAGGAACCGUACCCCAAACCGACACAGGUGGUUGGGUAGAGAAUACCAAGGCGCUUGAGAGAACUCGGGUGAAGGAACUAGGCAAAAUGGCACCGUAACUUCGGGAGAAGGUGCGCCGGUGAGGGUGAAGCACUUGCUGCGUAAGCCCACGCCGGUCGAAGAUACCAGGCCGCUGCGACUGUUUAUUAAAAACACAGCACUCUGCAAACACGAAAGUGGACGUAUAGGGUGUGACGCCUGCCCGGUGCCGGAAGGUUAAUUGAUGGGGUUAGCUAACGCGAAGCUCUUGAUCGAAGCCCCGGUAAACGGCGGCCGUAACUAUAACGGUCCUAAGGUAGCGAAAUUCCUUGUCGGGUAAGUUCCGACCUGCACGAAUGGCGUAACGAUGGCGGCGCUGUCUCCACCCGAGACUCAGUGAAAUUGAAAUCGCUGUGAAGAUGCAGUGUAUCCGCGGCUAGACGGAAAGACCCCGUGAACCUUUACUAUAGCUUUGCACUGGACUUUGAAUUUGCUUGUGUAGGAUAGGUGGGAGGCUUUGAAGCGUGGACGCCAGUCUGCGUGGAGCCAUCCUUGAAAUACCACCCUGGCAACUUUGAGGUUCUAACUCAGGUCCGUUAUCCGGAUCGAGGACAGUGUAUGGUGGGUAGUUUGACUGGGGCGGUCUCCUCCUAAAGAGUAACGGAGGAGUACGAAGGUGCGCUCAGACCGGUCGGAAAUCGGUCGUAGAGUAUAAAGGCAAAAGCGCGCUUGACUGCGAGACAGACACGUCGAGCAGGUACGAAAGUAGGUCUUAGUGAUCCGGUGGUUCUGUAUGGAAGGGCCAUCGCUCAACGGAUAAAAGGUACUCCGGGGAUAACAGGCUGAUACCGCCCAAGAGUUCAUAUCGACGGCGGUGUUUGGCACCUCGAUGUCGGCUCAUCACAUCCUGGGGCUGAAGCCGGUCCCAAGGGUAUGGCUGUUCGCCAUUUAAAGUGGUACGCGAGCUGGGUUUAGAACGUCGUGAGACAGUUCGGUCCCUAUCUGCCGUGGACGUUUGAGAUUUGAGAGGGGCUGCUCCUAGUACGAGAGGACCGGAGUGGACGAACCUCUGGUGUUCCGGUUGUCACGCCAGUGGCAUUGCCGGGUAGCUAUGUUCGGAAAAGAUAACCGCUGAAAGCAUCUAAGCGGGAAACUUGCCUCAAGAUGAGAUCUCACUGGAGCCUUGAGCUCCCUGAAGGGCCGUCGAAGACUACGACGUUGAUAGGCAGGGUGUGUAAGCGCUGUGAGGCGUUGAGCUAACCUGUACUAAUUGCCCGUGAGGCUUGACCAUAUAACACCCAAGCAAUU
rnacentral:rRNA from 1 species